CUGCUCCUCUGGCUGCUGUUGUCCCUGUGGUUGGCGUACUUGUCAGAUCACGACAAAUUUUGCACUACAGGCCAGUUGACAGCGUGCAAUAACCCGGCCGAUUCAUUCAUCUUUACACUACCUCACACUCGACUCAACGGUGAGUUAUUUGUUUGUUUUGUUUUGUCACAAUUAAUGUACAUGCGGAGCCGCGAUCGCGCAUCCUACAAUGCCGGUAAGCUAAUGCUAGGCUAGCGACAGUAAGUGCAAUUACUAGUGUCAUCUAUUGAAUCUUGUUGUUUUUUUAAAUUCCAUUUACAUUAUUGAAUCUGUUGCGCAACACCUUUGAUUAAAUGAGUUUUGUAAAUAUAUUUGAUUAACUUUGGAUAAUAUUUAUUAGCUUUAACGCUGAUAUACUUUGAUGGGACCCAUGAGAAUGUCUUUCUAUAAUAGUAUUUAGAAUGACAUUCAUUAUAAGAGAUGAUGGUUUAUUGAUUGUUGUAUGAAACAUGGCAUUGAUUACUUGACUUUGUUAUUUAUGUAUUUAUUUUGUCACAGCAGUAGAAUGCUGUUUCAUUUUCUUCUGUGAAUCAUAAUUUCUGUUUUUUGACCUUGUUUAGGUCAGGUUUUUUUUUUUUUUGUUCUCCCGCGAUCAGCCCUGAUCAGCGCGAGAUGGCGAGCCACCCGACCACCGCUACGGUGCGGUAGGAAUUGUGAACCUACCGCACCAUGACUACACCUCAUCCCACCUCCUUUUGGAACCUACUAAGCUGUUUUGUAUUGUCAACAUUAUUUUUGUUUGUGAUAUAUAUGCAUAUGUUUCUAUUUCUUUUGUACAUCCGUCUAUACACUUCUCAUAACAAACAUAAUAUAUAUAUAUUUGAGCUCUACUUUUGUUUCCUGUGUUUUAUUCACACCCUCAGGCUCCAUAGUCGAAUCUUAAUCUGAUAGCUCAUUGUCUAUGAGGCUGCAGUCAGGCGCCCUGGUCCUUUAACCGCGUUACACAUGCUCAAUUAUAGUUAGCCUUUUCUUAGCAGCUGUAAUACUUAGUUCAAGACACAAUGCACUGUGCAUUGUGUCUUGAACUAACGGACAACACCAAAUUAUGUUUUGGGGCCUAAAAGAUGCUCUGCUACACCUUUACUGGAGCAUUACCUUCACCAUGUUUGACAGAUUAUGUGAUAUGCUUCAAAUCCAGAGCUCUGGAACAAGUUAAAUUUUCAUGUGUGCAAAGGAUUUUUUUUUUUUUUUUUUCAGAAUUGAUCAGGUUAUUGGCAAAGUCUAAUCUGGAUUUCUUGUUCUUAAUUUUAACAAGUGGUUUAUACAGUGUUGGAAAUUCUUUGCAAUCCCAUUCAUAAUGGCAUCUAUGGAUUGUAGACCUUCACAAUGACAUGCCUACUUCCUCCAUUGUGUUUUUUGACUUGAAUGUUGUUUUGAAACUGUAUUUCUACUAUAUUUCUGGUUUAUUUUGGUUUUAAAACAUCUACUUUAGCCACUAAGCAGUAAGCCACAUGAAAUUACAUAAUAGAGUGGUAUGUAUGUGUAUGUGCAUAGUGUGAGUUUAUUUGCUAUAGACUUCCAACGUUCUAUGGCCUUAAGAUUAGC
ensembl:lncRNA